rnacentral:RNase_P_RNA from 1 species
CAGGCUGGCGGACGGCCGCAGGGCGCCGGUGACGGUGCCGUGAGGAACGUCCGGGCUCCACAGGGCAGGAUGGUGGGUAACGCCCACUCGGGGUAACCCGCAGGACAGUGCCACAGAAAGCAGACCGCCUGGUCCGUGACGGUGUCCGCACCGCCGCGGGCCCGGUGAGGGUGAAAGGGUGGUGUAAGAGACCACCAGCGGUCCGGGUGACCGGAUCGGCUCGGUAAACCCCAUCCGGAGCAAGGCCGAACAGGAUGUGUUCGAGGGCUGCCCGCCCGAGCAUCCGGGUUGGCCGCUCGAGCCCGUCGGCAACGGCGGGCCUAGAUGGAUGGCCGUCGCUGGGAGGUGGGUGACCGCCCCCGGUACAGAACCCGGCGUACAAGCCAGCCUGUCCC